UGUAACAAUAGACUCUGUUUCAUAUACAGAGUACAUGUGUUCCUGGAAAAUGCCUGUACUCAUUUUGCUGGCGGGUAUAAUUAUCCCAGUGCUGUUUUGACUUACAUUUCUCUACGCGAGAGGUUAGGUCUUGGGAGGAGUUCAUACUAGUAGAUAUUAAUUCUUCUGUGUCUGCAGGUCCCAGGUCCUUGCUCGGUUUGUGUGAGCUGCAGUGGACGUUGUCUUUGCCCUGGUCUUUGCUCUGGUCUUUGCUCAGAGACUUUGUUUUCUUAGACUAAGUAGCAAAUUGAAGUCAGUGAGCCCUAAGAGAAGCUCCCAAUUUUAAUGUCACCCUUGUGAUGAGGGUCCCCUAAAAAGCUUAAGAUAUCCUCAAUACAAUCUGGAGCCUUAGCUUAGUGCAAGCUAAAUCAAGUUCCACUGCCACAAUUUACUCUUCCAGUGACCUCUGGUGAGUGAGUGACCAUUCUGAGGCUCAGGUUUUGAGGAUCAAAAUAUAUGAAGGCCAGGCAUUAGCUGGUGUAUAAUGUUAGGUAACUUCUAGAAGUGAGCAUUACAUUUAUUAUCCUUUUUUUUUCAUAAAAAGUUUUGCCUAGUUACCUUGAGUGUAAUUUCACCAGAUUCCCAAAUUCUCACUUGAUAUACAUUAGUGUGAAUAAAAUGUAUGUAUUGGUUAUCUUUUACAGGCAGAAGGUAUAAGAAAGACAAACUAUUAUAUGGAAUGUAGUAAUAGCCAGUUGUAGCCCUCCUAUAGUCCUUAUAAUUCUCAAGCUUUAUUGUUAAUGUUUUUUUAAUAGGUAAUAACAUUCACAUGAUUCAAAAUCCAAAAGUAAUGAAAGUAUACGACUCAAUAUGCAGCGCUUCCUGUUGUAUUUAUUUUGUGCACAUAGUGAUGACUAGAAACCAACCAUCACCAUAAAUACCUUGAUUGAGUGAUUAAAGAUUUUCUAUUAAAAGCAACACCAUGCUGGCUUUUAUAGAUGACACUAGGUAGAUUCUAUAAUUCAACUUCAUUCCUAGAUAGAAGCUGAAUUCAUAUGAUACCAGAGAAACUUCUUUCCCAGCCUUGGAACUCUUGGGUGCUGUAAGUCCUGGAUAUACCAUAGAUGAUGAUAACAUUUUUCUUUUACGUAUGAAGUUAGAUGGUUCUUCACAUUAAAGAUGGACGCUGACUUUUUUCACCAGAAAUGGUUUAUAGCAUCAACUUGCAAAAAUGUAAGAGGCAGCAGAAGAAAGAAUAAAAUGUUUUACCAUUCUUAGAUUCUUUGCUAGAUUGUAAACUCCAUGAAGCAGGGCAACUUCCUUAUCCUUAAUGCUUGGCCCAGAUUAGAUACUCAGAAAAUAUUUGAAGUGAUUUAAAAUCUCUACUGAUUUUAUUUUAUAAGUUCCUGGAAAAUGGCAACCAUUUUAAUGAGAUUUCAACAAAACAUUUGCAUGGAAUAACUGGGACUUAAAUUGUGACUAUGAUGUAAAAUCUAUCUAUAGGUACAUUAAACUAUCUGGGUACCAAUGAGUCUACUUAAAAUUCUUUAUCUGUUUAUGAUAUUUGAUCCUUUAAGAGGCAAUAAAGAAUGGCUGUGAAAACAACUUAUGUAUGUGAGGAACAGAUGAAUAAAAGCUUACUGAUAUUUAUUAGGAAAUCUUUUAUUAUGAACAUUUUAUGGCCUUAUUGGACAUUUAUCAUUGGUUUAAAUUGCACAUACCACUCAACUAUGGUUAAAAAGACAUUUUUGCUUUAUAUUUAAUGUUGAAAUAUUCUCAGUUGUUUUGGCUAAAUUAUACUACAGGGAAUUUUUUGCCCUAUAGAUUGUACUUAUAUCCGUGAGGGUACAUUUAACAUGCAAAGGGUGUAAAAUAAAUAUCUAAAUAUUGGA